AGAGCAGAGUAAGAGAGAACUGCUGUGGGUGGAGCUGUGAACCUAACGAUUCGCCAUUUUCUCUCUCUUAAUGCUCUGUGUGCAGGAAAUAAAGCUUUUCAUCCACAUUUUGAGUUCCUGUGUUGAUGAAGAGUGGGGCAGAUCAGUAACAAGAAUCCAAAAGUCACACAUAGAUGGAUAAAAAUGGAGGCUGCACAGAAGACAUGCUGCACAUCUGUGGUGUAGGAGCAUGUCCAUUUGGAAACCCCAAAUAAAGUAAAAUAUUGUGAUUGGCAGCUAUACCCUACUGCAAUAAAUCAUCCAGGAUGCGCCAUUUGAGGAGCACUCAUCCUGCCAUUCUGCAGAGGACAGCAUUCCCCCUGUGCCUCGGCCUGCUACUGACACUGCUGCAUCUA